rnacentral:miRNA from 1 species
GCAGGGACUGCAAAGGGGUAC